UAUUAAGUGGCCGAGAAUAAGCACUAGACUUUUAAUCUAGAAAAUGAUUUUUAUAAUCCUUAAUAA
rnacentral:tRNA from 2 species